rnacentral:rRNA from 1 species
AUUGAACGCUGGCGGCAGGCCUAACACAUGCAAGUCGAGCGGAGAUGAGGUGCUUGCACCUUAUCUUAGCGGCGGACGGGUGAGUAAUGCUUAGGAAUCUGCCUAUUAGUGGGGGACAACAUUCCGAAAGGAAUGCUAAUACCGCAUACGUCCUACGGGAGAAAGCAGGGGAUCUUCGGACCUUGCGCUAAUAGAUGAGCCUAAGUCGGAUUAGCUAGUUGGUGGGGUAAAGGCCUACCAAGGCGACGAUCUGUAGCGGGUCUGAGAGGAUGAUCCGCCACACUGGGACUGAGACACGGCCCAGACUCCUACGGGAGGCAGCAGUGGGGAAUAUUGGACAAUGGGGGGAACCCUGAUCCAGCCAUGCCGCGUGUGUGAAGAAGGCCUUAAGGUUGUAAAGCACUUUAAGCGAGGAGGAGGCUACUGAGACUAAUACUCUUGGAUAGUGGACGUUACUCGCAGAAUAAGCACCGGCUAACUCUGUGCCAGCCGCCGCGGUAAAAC